CGGAGCUUGCGGCUGCGGCCUCGGCGAUUGAGCCCGCGCGGCAGCGUUGUCGAUUGAGCUCCCGACCACGGCAAGUGCACUGUCGAUUGAGCUUGUCACUGCGGCAAGGAGGCGCACAGGGAGAGGGGAAGCGGGAGCUAGCUACUGACUGCAGGAGCACGGAGCUCUGCUCGCCAUCGACGUGAAAGAUUGCAGAUUCAAGUUGUACCAGUACUACAUACCUGUUGAAGAGGAUGUAGGAGGAGCUUCUUCCAUGCGAAAGAAGAACGUUGUUCUGGAUUGUGAUCCACGCAAAGGAAAUUUCUCACGGGGUGCUGGAAGAUCGCCUCCGGCAACUAGCCUGUGCGAGCGUGUCGGAAGAUCGCUUCUAGCCACUAACUUGUUCUCAAUUUCUUUGAUCUUUAGGGCUGCAACUUCCGGCGAGAUUUGUAGGAGAAACUAAUCACGUGGGGAAGGAGAUUCUGGGGUGGUAUUGUUUGGCGGGUAGAAAAAAAUCUGUUACCUAAGUUUAUGGAGAUUAACUGAAUCAGAAAUAUACGCUGUGUUAUUA